GUAGUAAUUUGAUUGAAGUAAAAAAAUAUUUUUGAAUUUAAUAUUUGUUGCGCGCUUAGAUGUUAUAUACGCUAAAAAUAAUUACCGUGCCAAAUUUACUAUGCACGACAAAAAGUAAGUGAAAAUGUCUCAUGAAUAUGAUAGAUAACGAUGUAUGGCAUUUUAGUGAAAACUUAAAAAUAAAUGAGAAAUCUUUAGGAAAUCCAGGGUAAUGAGAAAAAGCGUAAGUGAUGUGAAUAGUAACAUAUUGGGUUUGGUCAGAUUAAAUAGAAACAUUGUUAGGUAAGAAAUGAGACACCAAUAUCAAGCAAGCCUAAAGUUUAGAUCUGUGUAUAAUGACUAAAAAUAUUAACGUGUGUAUUACGACACAUUUUGUAUAAUACGAAAUGUUAAGUGUGCAGUGUAAUACAAAAUUAAAAAGUGUGUUUUUUUCGUUGAUGUACUGAUCAAAAGAUUCUUCAAAAACUGAUGCCAUGACGGUGAGAAGGGGUGAAGAUAUUUACGAUAUAGUAUGUUUUGAUAUGAAGUACGAAAAAGUAUAUUAUAUUUUAGUCUCUGGAGUGAUCAAUACGGUUAAAACCUCUAGAAAAAUCGGUGUAG